AGGGGGCGCUCUGUACGCGCUCAGAUAGAGGAAAGGCGCCAACGAAUACUGAUGGCCCACAAGCUCAGACAGCUUGAGGCUGAAACGUGGAACCAAUACGACUCAACACUACGGAGGGUGAUGAUGGAGCACAGGCAGAAAAACUUCCGCCACCCGCUGGAGUGUGACCAACAUCCUUCCUUCCGUGUCAGAAUGGAGUACGACGAGAAGGUAAAGGAGAGGAUGAAAGAGAAUGAGGAAGGCCUAAGCCCUGUGAGCCAGAAGGCACCAGAGGGAUGGCAGGAAGACCCACAGCCCCCGAGGAGAGCACAGAGAGAAUUCGAGCCACCAAUUCACAAGAGGUCUGAGAAGGAGCUGAAGAAGCCAACACCUCCAGCUCAUCCACAGCCUACACCCCCUGAGCGCCCGGAUAAACCUCAGGACCCUCCAACAACGGUACGCUAUAGCCAUUUGCCAGCCCCGUUUGCCCUUGGAGACUCCAGAGCAGGGCAGAAGCAGCAGCUGUUGCUGCCCACCGUCCCUGUGCUCCUGCCUGUGCCCAGCCCCAGGAGACUAACGCUGCACUCGGUUGUGUUUCCCUUGCCUGCAGAGGGCGCGCUCUGUGCGUGCUCAGAUGGAAGAAAGACGGCACAGAAUACUGAUGGCCCACGAGCGCAAACAGGUUGAAGAUGAAAUCUGGGGGGAAUACGAUGCAAUCCUACGGAGUAGGAGCAGGGAGCGAGAAAAGGUAUGUCAUGCAUUCAGAGCCC
rnacentral:lncRNA from 1 species